GCAGUAGCUCAGUGGUAGAGUCCUCGCUUCGUAUGCGGGAAAACCUGGGUUCGAUUCCCGGCUGC
rnacentral:tRNA from 1 species